UACGGAGGGUGCAAGCGUUGUCCGGAUUUAUUGGGUUUAAAGGGUGCGUAGGCGGCCCCUUAAGUCAGCGGUGAAAGCCCGGGGCUCAACCCCGGAACCGCCGUUGAUACUGGGGGGCUUGAGUACGGACGAGGUGGGCGGAAUUGAAGAUGUAGCGGUGAAAUGCUUAGAUAUCUUCAAGAACUCCGAUUGCGUAGGCAGCUCACUAGGCCGUAACUGACGCUGAGGCACGAAAGCGUGGGGAGCGAACAGG
rnacentral:rRNA from 1 species